GGAAGUUUUCGGAUGGAAUUCAUAUUGACUGAGUGGCGGACGGGUGAGUAACGCGUGGGUAACCUGCCUCAUACAGGGGGAUAACAGUUAGAAAUGACUGCUAAUACCGCAUAAGCGCACAGAAUCGCAUGAUUCGGUGUGAAAAACUCCGGUGGUAUGAGAUGGACCCGCGUCUGAUUAGCUAGUUGGUGGGGUAAAGGCCUACCAAGGCGACGAUCAGUAGCCGACCUGAGAGGGUGAUCGGCCACAUUGGGACUGAGACACGGCCCAAACUCCUACGGGAGGCAGCAGUGGGGAAUAUUGCACAAUGGGGGAAACCCUGAUGCAGCAACGCCGCGUGAGCGAAGAAGUAUUUCGAUAUGUAAAGCUCUAUCAGCAGGGAAGAAGAUGACGGUACCUGAGUAAGAAGCCCCGGCUAACUACGUGCCAGCAGCCGCGGUAAUACGUAGGGGGCAAGCGUUAUCCGGAUUUACUGGGUGUAAAGGGAGCGUAGACGGCAUAGCAAGUCUGAAGUGAAAGCCCAAGGCUCAACCAUGGGACUGCUUUGGAAACUGUUAAGCUAGAGUGCUGGAGAGGUAAGCGGAAUUCCUAGUGUAGCGGUGAAAUGCGUAGAUAUUAGGAAGAACACCAGUGGCGAAGGCGGCUUACUGGACAGUAACUGACGUUGAGGCUCGAAAGCGUGGGGAGCAAACAAGAUUAGAUACCCUGGUAGUCCACGCCGUAAAACGAUGAAUGCUAG
rnacentral:rRNA from 1 species